AGUCCCCUUCUGUCUGGGCCACCAUGAGGAAACAGCAGAGACUGGGUGGUCCACACCAGGAGGUGGCUCCUUGCUGAUUCCCAGAGUGGGGUGCCGGCGGGUAGCUUUCUGAAGCCUCUCCUCUUGGUCUGCAGACAUCUGCCAGCCUGCCCCGUGCUGGAGGGAGGGCAGCAGGCCCCUGGGCCUCCCUAGCUCCACACGCAGCCCCUGGGGCUAGAAGUCCCACAUAUGAAUCAGGGUGGCACAAUUCAGGCCAUAGAAAUAGGAGACACAACACUUCCGAUUUUAAUCCCGAACCAACAGGGCAGAUUCGUAAAGUGUGCUCCAGCCGCAUCUGCUGAGGAUGCAGUUAAGAGGAGUGGACGGCGGCCUAGAGGUGAGGAGCAGGAAGGCCUCUCCAGAGAGGGGAGGGCUCUGCAUCCUGGAGGCAGGCCAGCGGGAGGGUCAACACUGGUCCUCAUGUCCCGCGACAGCACGGCUUCCUUCAGGGUGAUCUGAGGUCAGCCACGCAUUGAUCACAGAUGCUGUGGGCAGUUCUUUAUCUCUCAGCUUUUGUGUUCAUUUGCAAAUAUCCAUAAUACAAAAGUUUUUAUGAAGAAUAAACUAAAUAUUGGGGGGGAGUGGGAAAGCCCCAUUCUGAGGGGGAGAUGGUCAGAACACCUCUGGGAACUGGCUCCAAGAACCAAGUCUGGGGACACAAGGCUACUGUGUCCCCAAGAACUGUGGAGAGCCCAGGACAGUGCCCUGCUCUCGGGAUGAUGACAGGGACACUAAGGGUAAAUGAGACUCCUGUGUCGGGGCAAAGGACUUCACAGCUCAGAGAAUCCAUGUUUGUGGACAAGCUGGGGUGACUAGUCACACCACAGUCCCACAGCGAGGCACAAAGAGAGCCAGAGAGCCAGGUACUUGCAGUGUCCUGGGUGGCCCACAGGAGAGGAGCUCCCACCCAGGGGAGUGAACCUGUCUACUCAAGGGCACAGGGACCCAGUCUUCCAAGUGUCAGCCACUGUGCCCUGAAGUACAGAAGCAGGGAUCACUUCUUCUUUAAAGAUGUUGGUUUAUAAAUACCUUUAAAGACAGUUCAGAGCAAAGAUAGCCAGUACCUGUGCUCGGAAGACGGACACAAGUGCGAGAGACCCGAGAACUGUCUUACUGGCACCUGUGGAGGAGUGGGCACGGGGAGGGAGACAGCCCCGGGGAGCCUUGGUGGGUAAGUUCAGAAGAAAGCCAGCUGCAGAUGGAGCCUUCCAGAAACAGACGCAGAGGAACAUCAACCUCAAAAUAACCACUGCCAAAGAAACAGCAUUCAUCUCUGCCUGCAGAGGAAGAUGCUCUCAAACUGAGAAACUCACAAGACACCCUCUUCAAACCCACACAGAAACAGCAUCUCCACCCAGGAAAACGUGAUACCUCAAAUCAUUAUAAAUGACAUAAAAAACAACUAUGAGAAGACAUGAUAUAUAAGAAUCAAGAUUCCAGUGAAUGAAAAAUAUUCUCUAAGACAUCAAACAUGAAGCAAAAGAAAGCUACAGUGAAACUCUCACUCCUGAGCAGUCAAGGUCUCCAGAUAAGCACUAAACAUAAAGGAGCCUCUCAAAUCAUCAAAAAGCAAAAAGCAAAACUCCAAGUGAAUUAUGCAAAAGCAACAAAAUAAAAAAAUAGACCAGUGGGAAUAUAUAAAUCUGAAACUCGACUGUAACAAUGAAACAAACAGCACAGUAAAGAGACAACCUACAGAACAGGAGGAAAUGUUUGCAAACUUACAUCUGGAAAGGAGUUAACACCCCAAAUAUAUAAAGAACUCAAACAACUUAAUAGCAGGAAAACAAUUAACCCCAUUAAAACAUGUUGGCAGAGACCUGAACAGACAUUGCUUAAAAGAAGACAUACAAAUAAAUGGCCAUCAGGUAAAUAAGAAAAAAGGGGGCUUGACCUCACCAGCCUUCAGGGAAAUGCAAAUCAAAACCCUAGGAGAAACCACCUUCCUUAAGAGAAUGGCUGCUACCCAAGACCCAAAGCAGCAGAUAGGAUCCUUACUCUGUUGGUGGGUGAGAAUCAGCACAGCUAGAAGUCAGCUCAGAGCCGCCUCGGGAAGCUGAAAGUGGAGGGGUCUCCUGAUUCAGCUACACAGCAGGGACCUCAGGGUACACAUCAGCAUGCCAAAGAGACUCCCGGGCUCCCAUGUUGUCCUGGCACAGCACACGGCAGCCCAGCAUAGAGCCCACCACGGGCUCACCAUGGACGUGUGGCCAAUGGACAUGGGGCCCCCCACAGCAGGGAACACACCUCGGCCACGAGGGAUGAACCCUGCUUAAGCCAAGAGUGCAAGCGGGUGUAACUCGACUACUUGACAGGCAAGAUUUCAUCGCGGUUUCAAAGCAAACCCCGGAUCUGUCAAGAACGAAAGAGACACCCCAACAAACUUAUUCAGACCAGCUAAACAUCGGACUGGGCUGAGGCACUCCCAACAAACGCCAAGAAGAAGCAGGGCCAGGCCGGUACGGCAGAACCCAGGUGCGCACACUCAGUGAGACAGGCGAACCCCGAAGCUAACUGGAAACGACACCCUGAUGAGUCACCAUGUCCCGGGCCAGGAACUCCGAGGCCUCAGAAAACACUGAGUCAGAAAACACGCACUUAGUUUCGAUUACAAAAUAAGUCUUAGAUUUCAUCUUGCUCCGCUGCUUCCGUAAUAAGCAGGUAACAUAUCAAGAAGGAAUGCAGAGCCUAUGGAGUCACUCUUUUUUCUUGAUGCUCUUUUAAAACUCCAAGAAAUGAAUGUUGUAGACCAUUCUUAACCCACCAGGGCAAAGAGGGUUGGAGAGGAGACGGCAGUGGAGGAGAGUUUUUAAACCAGCUUUUAGAAGAAGAAAAGCAGAAGUGGGAUUGACUUGGUGAAGCAGAGGAAGUUAAACCGAGCUGAGAGAACCGCCGGGCAGGAAGGACAGGUUGCCCUGAAAGUGUGAGAGGGAGCCGCCGGGCCUCCUGGGCUGGGGUCUGCCCAGCCCACCAACACGCCCCGGCUCACACAACCCAGGAAAACACAGAAGCAAAGGUGGGAGCACGUUGCCCUGCGCAGACACAGUGCUGUCCAUGUCUGGGAAAGGAAGUGCAGUCAAGCACCAGCCCCCGAGCUGGAGAGUCUCCGAGAGCUGAGGUCGCGGAGCGGAAGGAAAGAGGAGCCAAGGUGCAGACCGUCAGGCUCCAAUUCUGGAGCAUCGACCUCCUGAGACCUCCUCUCACGUGACCCCACAGCCAGGUGUACACGGCCAGACGCUGAGCCUGUCGGGAAGCAGAAACGGACAGGGCCCCGGGGGAGGACUGGCUGGGAGCAGGGGCCGCACAGACUGUACGCAGCCAGCUGCACUGGCCAGCUGGGCUCCUCCCGUUUGCUUGACCCCCAAAUGCCGCCUGGGCCAGAAACAAGCUCUACCAGUGAUGUGGCUCUGCACCCCAGAGCUGGACACACGCGGGUUGUUAAAGAUGGGAACACAAGGAUCUCCACAGGGCCCUGACCUGCUGGGGCCUUGUGUGGAAGCUGAGCCUCAGAUGGUGCCCUGGUGCCAUCUGCCUGAGAGUGACUGCCACCUGGAAGCAGGGGUUCCCCAUGCCCUUGUUGUGGAUCUCUGCAUCAGUCACCCACAGAAAGAUCAUUUCCCUUCACACGCUGCACGUGGACACAGCUGAGAGGCUACUUUCUUAGUGUGGAAAGAGAAGGAGUUUAGUUAGGCUGACCUCCAGAAGCCCAAUGUGACUUUACUAAUUGGAAGAAGUACUUUCUGAAAAAGUGACAAAUUUUAAUUGCAAGCAAAUAAAUUAGUAAAUUUCAUGAAAAA